rnacentral:rRNA from 1 species
CUGACAGUUAAUUUACAUGGAUAACUGUGGUAAUUCUAGAGCUAAUACAUGCAGCAAGCCUUGACCCUUACGGGCAAGGCGCAGUUAUUAGAUCAAAAACCAAUCGGUUGUAUCUUCGGGUAUGACCGUUACUUUGGUGACUCUGAGUAACCACAGCGAACCGUAUGGCCUCGUGCUCGACGGUCUGUCAGUCAAGCAACUGCCUUAUCAGCUUGUUGUUAGAUUAUAUGCCUAACAAGGCUUCAACGGGUAACGAACGAUCGGGGUCGGAUAUCGGAGAGGGAGCUUGAGAAACGGCUACCACUUCCAAGGAAGGCAGCAGGCGCGCAAAUUACCCACUCUCGGCAUGAGGAGGUAGCGAUAAAAUGUAUCGAUGCGGGGCCAUUAGUGCCUUCGUAAUCGGAAUGAGUACACUUUAAAUCCUAUAACGAGGACCUAUUGGAGGGCAAGUCUGGUGCCAGCAGCCGCGGUAAUUCCAGCUCCAAUAGCGUAUAUUAAUGCUGCUGCGGUUAAAAAGCUCGUAGUCGGAUCUGGGUUACCGGCGGGUACCGCAGGUUGCUUCGGCAGCUUGUUGUGUACUGUACGUGUCGCUUCGGCGGCACUGCCAGUGUAGCGCUGUCUCAUGUAGGCAAGCUAUGCUGGUCGCCGGAACCACGGGCCGGGCUGAGCAGCAUGCUCUUAAUUGAGUGUGCUGCUUACUCGGUGCGUUUACUUUGAAAAAAUUGGAGUGCUCAAAGCAAGCGUACAGUCGCUAUGCGGCUUGAACAGUGGUGCAUGGAAUAAUGGAAUAGGGCCUCGGUUCUAUUUUGUUGGUUUUAAGAUAUCGAGGUAAUGAUUAAGAGGGACCGACGGGGACGUUUGUAUUGCGACGUUAGAGGUGAAAUUCUUGGAUCGUCGCAAGACACACUAAUGCGAAAGCAUUCGUCUAGAAGGUUU